rnacentral:rRNA from 1 species
CAAAGGCUCCAAAGGAAGCCACGGCUAACUCUGUGCCAGCAGCCGCGGUAAUACAGAGGUGGCAAGCGUUGUUCGGAAUUAUUGGGCGUAAAGAGCACGUAGGUGGAUUUGUAAGUCAGACGUGAAAGCCUUCUGUUCAACGGAAGAAUUGCAUCUGAAACUACAAACCUUGAGUGUAGGAGGGGAGAAUGGAACUUCUGGUGGAGCGGUGAAAUGCGUAGAUAUCAGAAGGAACGCCGGCGGCGAAAGCGAUUCUCUGGCCUAUUACUGACACUCAGUGUGCGAAAGCUAGGGGAGCAAACGGGAUUAGAUACCCCGGUAGUCCUAGCCGUAAA